rnacentral:rRNA from 1 species
GACGAACGCUGGCGGCGUGCUUAACACAUGCAAGUCGAACGGUGAAGCGCUUGCCUUUUUGGUGGGUGUGGAUGAGUGGCGAACGGGUGAGUAACACGUGAGUAACCUGCCCUCUUCUUCUGGAUAACCUCAUGAAAGUGGGGCUAAUACGGGGUAUUCCGGGUCUGUCGCAUGGCGGGUUUGGGAAAGAUUGCGCCUUUGGGUGUUUUCGGUGGGGGAUGGGCUCGCGGCCUAUCAGCUUGUUAGUGGGGUGAUGGCCUACCAAGGCGGUGACGGGUAGCCGGCCUGAGAGGGUGGACGGCCACACUGGGACUGAGACACGGCCCAGACUCCUGCGGGAGGCAGCAGUGGGGAAGAUUGCACAAUGGGCGCAAGCCUGAUGCAGCGACGCCGCGUGAGGGAUGGAGGCCUUCGGGUGGUGAACCUCUUUCGCCAGUGAAGCAGGCCUGCUCCUGUGUGGGUGGGUUGACGGUAGCUGGAUAAGAAGCGCCGGCUAACUACGUG